rnacentral:rRNA from 1 species
ACACAUGCAAGUCGAACGGUGAAGCAGAGCUUGCUCUGUGGAUCAGUGGCGAACGGGUGAGUAACACGUGAGUAACCUGCCCUUGACUCUGGGAUAAGCGUUGGAAACGACGUCUAAUACCGGAUAUGAACCUCGGCCGCAUGGCCAGGGGUUGGAAAGAUUUUUUGGUCAAGGAUGGACUCGCGGCCUAUCAGCUUGUUGGUGAGGUAAUGGCUCACCAAGGCGACGACGGGUAGCCGGCCUGAGAGGGUGACCGGCCACACUGGGACUGAGACACGGCCCAGACUCCUACGGGAGGCAGCAGUGGGGAAUAUUGCACAAUGGGCGCAAGCCUGAUGCAGCAACGCCGCGUGAGGGAUGACGGCCUUCGGGUUGUAAACCUCUUUUAGUAGGGAAGAAGCGAAAGUGACGGUACCUGCAGAAAAAGCACCGGCUAACUACGUGCCAGCAGCCGCGGUAAUACGUAGGGUGCAAGCGUUGUCCGGAAUUAUUGGGCGUAAAGAGCUCGUAGGCGGUUUGUCGCGUCUGCUGUGAAAACUGGAGGCUCAACCUCCAGCCUGCAGUGGGUACGGGCAGACUAGAGUGCGGUAGGGGAGAUUGGAAUUCCUGGUGUAGCGGUGGAAUGCGCAGAUAUCAGGAGGACACCGAUGGCGAAGGCAGAUCUCUGGGCCGUAACUGACGCUGAGGAGC